CUACGGGGUGCACCAGUGGGGAAUAUUGCACAAUGGGCGAAAGCCUGAUGCAGCAACGCCGCGUGAGCGAUGAAGGCCUUCGGGUCGUAAAGCUCUGUCCUCAAGGAAGAAACAUGACGGUACUUGAGGAGGAAGCCCCGGCUAACUACGUGCCAGCAGCCGCGGUAAUACGUAGGGGGCAAGCGUUAUCCGGAGUCACUGGGCGUAAAGGGUGCGUAGGCGGUUUUACAAGUCAGGUGUGAAAGGCUAUGGCUCAACCAUAGUAAGCACUUGAAACUGUAUAACUUGAGUGCAGGAGAGGAAAGUGGAAUUCCUAGUGUAGCGGUGAAAUGCGUAGAUAUUAGGAGGAACACCAGUGGCGAAGGCGACUUUCUGGACUGUAACUGACGCUGAGGCACGAAAGCGUGGGGAGCGAACAGGAUUAGAUACCCGUGUAGUC
rnacentral:rRNA from 1 species